rnacentral:rRNA from 1 species
GAUGAACGCUGGCGGCGUGCCUAAUACAUGCAAGUCGAGCGAACAGACGAGGAGCUUGCUCCUCUGACGUUAGCGGCGGGCGGGUGAGUAACACGUGGAUAACCUACCUAUAAGACUGGUAUAACUUCGGGAAAGCGGAGCUAAUACCGGAUAAUAUAUUGAACCGCAUGGUUCAAUAGUGAAAUACGGUUUUGCUGUCACUUAUAGAUGGAUCCGCGCCGCAUUAGCUAGUUGGUAAGUUAACGGCUUACCAAGGCAACGAUGCGUAGCCGACCUGAGAGGGUGAUCGGCCACACUGGAACUGAGACACGGUCCAGACUACUACGGGAGGCAGCAGUAGGGAAUCUUACGCAAUGGGCGAAAGCUUGACGGAGCAACGCCGCGUGAGUGAUGACGGUCUUCGGAUCGUAAAACUCUGUUAUUAGGGAAGAACAAAUGUGUAAGUAACUAUGCACGUCUUGACGGUACCUAAUCAGAAAGCCACGGCUAACUACGUG